AAUAUUGGACAAUGGGGGCAACCCUGAGCCAGCCAUGCCGCGUGUGUUAAGAAGGUCUUCGGUUUGUAAAGCACUUUAAGUUGGGAGGAAGGGCAGCAGGUUAAUACCUUGCUGUUUUGACGUUACCGACAGAAUAAGCACCGGCUAACUUCGUGCCAGCAGCCGCGGUCAUACAGAGGGUGCAAGCGUUAAUCGGAAUUACUGGGCGUAAAGCGCGCGUAGGUGGUUUGUUAAGUUGGAAGUGAAAGCCCCGGGCACAACCGGGGAACUGCUUUCAAAACUGGCAAGCUAGAGUAUGGCAGAGGGUGGUGGAAUUUCCUGUGUAGCGGUGAAAAGCGUAGAUAUAGGAAGGAACACCAGUGGCGAAGGCGACCACCUGGGCUAAUACUGACACUGAGGUGCGAAAGCGUGGGGAGCAAAC
rnacentral:rRNA from 1 species